rnacentral:rRNA from 1 species
ACGGAAGGCAGCAGUGGGGAAUAUUAGGCAAUGGGGGCAACCCCGACCUAGCAACGCCGCGUGAAGGAUGAAGGUUUUCGGAUUGUAAACUUCUUUGGCAGGGGACGAUAAUGACGGUACCCUGAGAACAAGCCACGGCUAACUACGUGCCAGCAGCCGCGGUAAUACGUAGGUGGCGAGCGUUGUCCGGAUUUACUGGGUGUAAAGGGCGAGUAGGCGGGAAUUCAAGUCAGAUGUGAAAUACCGGGGCUUAACCCCGGAGCUGCAUUUGAAACUGGAUUUCUUGAGUGAUGGAGAGGCAGGCGGAAUUCCCGGUGUAGCGGUGAAAUGCAUAGAGAUCGGGAGGAACACCAGUGGCGAAGGCGGCCUGCUGGACAUUAACUGACGCUGAGGCGCGAAAGUGUGGGGAGCAAACAGGAUUAGAUACCCUGGUA